rnacentral:rRNA from 1 species
GACAGAGGGUGCAAACGUUGUUCGGAAUUACUGGGCGUAAAGCGUGUGUAGGCGGCCACGUAAGUCGGAUAUGAAAGCCCCAGGCUCAACCUGGGAAGUGCACUCGAUACUGCGUGGCUUGAGUAUCGGAGAGGUUGGUGGAAUUCUCGGUGUAGAGGUGAAAUUCGUAGAUAUCGAGAGGAACACCGGUGGCGAAGGCGGCCAACUGGACGAAUACUGACGCUGAGACACGAAAGCGUGGGGAGCAAACAGG